rnacentral:tRNA from 1 species
GGCGAUGUAGCUCAGUUGGUCAGAGCGCGCGGCUCAUAUCCGCGGUGUCCGGGGUUCAAGUCCCUGCAUCGCCACCA